GAUGAACGCUGGCGGCGUGCCUAAUACAUGCAAGUCGAGCGAACGGACGAGAAGCUUGCUUCUCUGAUGUUAGCGGCGGACGGGUGAGUAACACGUGGAUAACCUCCCUAUAAGACUGGGAUAACUUCGGGAAACCGGCUCUAAUACCGGAUAAUAUUUUGAACCGCAUGGUUCAAAAGUGAAAGACGGUCUUGCUGUCACUUAUCGAUGGAUCCGCGCUGCAUUAGCUAGUUGUUAAGGUAACGGCUUACCAAGGCAACGAUGCAUAGCCGACCUGAGAGGGGGAGCGGCCACUGUGAGGGUGAGACGCGAAACAGAGUCGGACGGGAGGCAGCAGUAGGGAAGCUACGGAAAUGGGCGAAAGCCUGAAGGAGGAACGGCGCGUGAGUGAAGAAAGGCUUCGGGUCGUAAAACGCUGUUAGUGGGGGAAAACAUAUGUGUAAGUAACGGAGCGAAACUGAAGGGAACCGAAAAAGAAGGCCAGGGUAAACUAGGG
rnacentral:rRNA from 1 species